CUUGGUAUGGUUCGUUCAAAAUUUUCUGAUUUAUUUAUUUUGGUUUCAUUUGGUUUAGUUCGGUUUAGUUCUGUUCAAAUUUUUUUGAACUUGUUUAUUUUGGCUUGCUUUGGUUUGUUUUUCGUGGUCGAAAACUUUGGUUUUUGUUUUGUUUAUAUAUUUUCGGAUAUAUUUAUCUUGGUUUAAUUCGGUUCGGUUUAAAAAAAUUUCGGAUUUAUUUAUUUUGGUUUGGUUCGGUUCGGUACUUUGUCUAUAAACUAAUCGAAACUGGUUGAAUUUUGGAUAGGUUCAGCAGAAUCACCAAGUGGAUUAGCGUCGGGUCCUUCGGCUCCACGAAUAAGCAAUGCACCAAGCAUUGCAACUUAUUCUCUUUUUCUCAACCUUAUAAUUUUCCCAUUAGCUUUUGCAUUCCAUACCUAUUGCUGAUUUCAUUAUCUUCCUACCAUUAACAACACUAUUAUUUCGUAUUGUAUUUUCUUAAGAGAGUAUUGUUUCUUUUGUACGUUAUGAUGUUCUUGAAUCUUUUUACUUUGUGUAUUCACGGAUUAGAUUAUUCUUCAUUCAUCAUAUUGAAUAAAGAUUCGUGUUUUCUAUAACUAACUAUAAUUAACCAAAACCAAAUCAUAUUCUAAGACUUGAAACCAUGGUUGUCUAUUGUUAUUGACUUUUGGGCAUCUUCCAAAAUCAUUGUUAUUGUAUUUUUUCACCAUAGGAAUGAGUCCAUUGCCUGUCAAUAUGUAACGAGCAUGAAUCAUACCGUAUAAAGUCUCGGCUGCUGACUCGAUCCAUUCGUUUUGUUCUUCUGUAAUCAUCCCACCUGUUUUAAACCCCGUCAUCAAUGCCAAAACAUGCAUCACUAAAAAAUAUAAAAUCCCCAUAGACUUACCACAAGAAGAAGAUUCUGCAUCAAGAAUUAAAUCGAGAGCAUAGUCAUAGUAAGGAACUUGAUGGCUAAGUCCAAACGAGUUGCAGUCAUCUAGGAUGUAAUCAUCAUCCACUUCACAUAAGAAUUUGUUCUCACGAAGGUUACAGAACCAGGAAAUCCAUGAGCUGUCUUCUUUGUCGGAACCACUGAUAUCUCUGAUUCUUCUGAUAUAUCUACAAAAAAACGCAAUUUAUAAGAAAGAUUUGCUUGAACCAUGAAAACAAAAGCUGAGUUUUAAGGGUCAUUUCACCAAAAUCAGGAGUCGAAUCGAACAAUAUGCCAUUACAAUAGAGCGAGUAGAGGCGAUUAAUUCUCACCGUCGGAAAUGUUAGAAUGUUGUGGCCGUUGCGGCUUUGAUGAUGAAUCUAUUAAUCAUCUCCUGUUUGAAUGUCCACCCGCAACCCAAGUGUGGGCUGUAUCAUCAAUACCCUGUGGUCCGGGGAUAUUCCCGAGUAAUUCUUUAUACAUAAAUUUCGACUAUUUGUUCUGGAGAGCGAAGCAUCUGGGAGUUCCUAAAGAUCAAAUUGAGAAGUUCCCUUGGAUCCUAUGGUACAUAUGGAAAGCAAGAAAUGAAAAGGUUUUCAAAGGAAAGGAUAUAUCUCCACUGGACACGGCACAAAUAGCAGAUGCAGAAGCCAUUAGUUGGAGGUUAGCAAAAACGCUAGAGGAAGUGGUGGAAACAGACUUUGAGCCUUUGCCGGAACAGCCCCAACAGAACUAGGUGAUUGAAUCCGGUCGUUGUCAAUUGGACGCUUCAUGGCAGAGCGAGGAUAGUUUCUCGGGGUUUGGGUUUUGCCUUGGAUGCAGGGAACACGAGAUUGCUAGGAUCGAAAUGUACUACUUGUUUACUAUCUCUCCUUCAGGCGGAACUCACAGCUUUGCUUUGGGCAAUGGAAACAAUUCUCUCACUUGGACAUACCUCCAUCAGGUUUGAAAUGGACUGCUCAACAUUGCUAAAGGUGACUGAUGAGGAAGAAGAUUGGCCACUAUUUGCAACUGAAUUAGAACAUUUUAAAAGUCUUAAAGCAUCUUUUGUGGAUUUUUCCAUUCUUUGUAUCCCCGUAGUAAAUGUCCGUGCUGAUGCCCUUGCAAAAGGUGCUAGAGUACGAGGUUAUAAGUUUUCCCAUGUAAGUCCGUUGGUUCCGGAGUGGCUGCCUCACGAGGCUAACCUAUUCGAACAUGUUUAAUAAAGUAUGGUGCUUUUGAUGUCAAAAAAGAAAAAAAAAAGGAAAGGUCCAUAUCCACACCGAAAUCAUUGUAAUCGUCAUACACACCGUAAUUGGAAUUAUCAUCUUUCUUGGACGACAUGGAAAAAAACACAUCAUGCCUUUGCCCUUCUUGUUCUUGCCGUAUGUGUAAAUCUGAUCAUAAGAAGAGACUUAUUAUGUGAAGAUGCAGAGGCAAAACGGUAUCCAUUGAUGAUGGUACCAGCCAAGAAGGUAGUGCCAAGGGAGCAUAAAGAAGAUUCCAUGGCCUGAACUGAAUAGAAGAACUAUAUGACAAGAGUAAAGAAAUUAGCAUAGGCUAUAUAACUCUCAAAGCCAACAAGAAAAAAAAUAGAGAAAGCUAGCAGAUCAGAGAAGAGAAGAGGGAUUUAAAACCUAG
rnacentral:lncRNA from 1 species